AACGAACGCUGGCGGCAGGCUUAACACAUGCAAGUCGAGCGCCCCGCAAGGGGAGCGGCAGACGGGUGAGUAACGCGUGGAAAUCUACCCAUCUCUACGGAAUAACGCAUGGAAACGUGUGCUAAUACCGUAUACGUCCUUCGGGAGAAAGAUUUAUCGGAGAUGGAUGAGCCCGCGUUGGAUUAGCUAGUUGGUGGGGUAAAGGCCUACCAAGGCGACGAUCCAUAGCUGGUCUGAGAGGAUGAUCAGCCACACUGGGACUGAGACACGGCCCAGACUCCUACGGGAGGCAGCAGUGGGGAAUAUUGGACAAUGGGCGCAAGCCUGAUCCAGCCAUGUCGCGUGAGUGAUGAAGGCCCUAGGGUUGUAAAGCUCUUCCACCGGUGAAGAUAAUGACGGUAACCGGAGAAGAAGCCCCGGCUAACUUCGUGCCAGCCGCCGCCGUAAUAC
rnacentral:rRNA from 1 species